ACUGGUAAUUAGUUUAAAUUAAAACAA
rnacentral:tRNA from 1 species